UGUCGGAAGCAUUAGCAGUAAGAAAACAUGUCAACAGAAUAAAAUAUUAACCAAUGACAGGAAAGAUCGGGAAAUCCCACCCCCAUUUCCAAGCCAAACACCGGGUCAGCCCUCAGUUCUUGGCCGGUGGAGGCAUCACCUCUCUCGGCUUGCGUUUUUACAAUGUCGCCUCCGGAGAAACCAACCUGUCCACUGUCUUAAUACUCACCUUUAUACAGAGGAACAGCUCCAGUUCUCUACGUUUACCACAAUCUUUUAGAACAAGUCACAACAGUAAAUCCUCGACUCCGGAGAUAUUUAUUUCAAAGAGCUGCUGCUCUUUCGCUCGCUCUCUAUUAUAACAGACUUGUAAUUAUUCCAAGUUAUCGGCUGCUUUGACGCUUAGGCUGGAUUUGCUUCACAUUAGCCCAGGCUAUGUUAGCUGUGAGUGUACUGACUUCAGACUCAUACAGCCCCCAGGUUCCCCACUCGCGAGCCAUUUAUCUGUGCGUUUUCCUGAUCGAGCUGACGGGAAGGCAGCAGCAGCCGCAGUGGCGGCAGCAGCGUAACACAGAGACACAAGGCUGGAAAAAAAACAGACCCAGAUGCUGCGUGGAGGAAAAAGAGGAAACCAGAUGAAUGAUGAUGAAUGAAUUUUGAGAGAAAAAUCAGGGAGAAGGAAAGCGAUGUGUUGACAGCGUGGAGAAACUGAAUUAGCAGCUGCGGCGGAGGGAACAUUGAAUCACAUUAGGAGCGCAGCAGAGGAGCAGAGGCUACCUGCAGGCCGGAGGGAGGGAGAAGCUUUUUAUUCCUCUGCUUUCAUUCACCGAGAGGAAGGGGCUCACACACAACACGGAGGAAACACUACCCAACACAUCACAACACAGGCUAACAGAAAACACAAUGAUAACCUCAAAAUCUCUCAUCACUCAGUCUCUCAAGACUAAAAUGUCAACGGUGAGAAAAAGUUGAAAUAGUUUCAAAUGUCAGGGUUUUUUUUUUUUUUUGCGCUAUUGACAAAAACACCAGUAUGAACAAUCAGUAUGAUAACAACGAUUAUUUACACUAGAUUUAUUUAAAAUCCAGUUUCAACAAGUUUCAAGUUGUCUCCAUAAACGAUGACUGAAAUAUCAAAGAUUAUACUUUCUUUAAAAUGAAAUUAUUUGCAGCUUCGAGACGCUGUAAAAAAAAAAAACAAAAAAAAAAAACUGUAAAUGUGUUGUCAUGCCAUAAAUAAUGUCGUGUAAUUGAUCUGAAUACAGAUGAGUGAAGCCCGACGUCACUGUAAUGCACACUCUCACAGCCUAUAUCUUCUAUCACAUUAUGUUACACAUGAAUUCAUAUGGGCUCAUUACAAUGAACGUGAGUUGGUUGUUAACCGAGUUUAAGUUUGUUCUGCCUCCUCCUUUGUACAGGUAAGUGUUUUAUUAGCUGCACCGUCAAAUAAACCGGACACUGCUAAAUGUGCUUUUUGAAGGAUAAAUAUGGCGGAUGACACUGAAGCUGACUCAGAAAAAAAGUGCUGCCCAUGUUCCAGGUUCACAUCUUAUCUCCAUCUAACCUGACAGCGGUACACUGAGCUCACAUCUGCAGCUUUGUUCAGGACAACUGUUACACUGCACAGGUCCAGUUCUAUACACCGAUAGUGAGUUUAACGGUGACAAUGCUGUCUCUGUGCCAACAGCUCUCAAAAUGUGGUUCAAGGAUCUCCAGGGGCCCUGUAGAUUCAUAUAGGUGGUCUGAUCCAGAAUAAUGAAACAAUUUAAUUUCAGAGUCAUUUCCUUCACUAGAAUUUAUCCUGAUGGCACAAUAAAUUAUUAUCAUGCUCGUUCAAAAAAACCAAAACAAAACAAAAACAAAAACAAACAAACAAACAAAAAAAAAAACAAUACACAGAUCUAGAUGGUCGGACAAUUCAACAAAAUUAAACUGAUCACUGGAAUCACCUGCUGCAGAAUAACAGCUGUUUAUGACAUAGCCCUCUGAAUUACAUUAUUAUCAUUCUGAAUGAUGUAGUUCUCAUGUGGAAUCCCAGACUCCUCAGAAAAAGCUAAUAUUAUUUCUUUCACUCAAAAUGAACCUGAUCAGAGAAUGCAUGAAUUCUCCAGCCUUGUCACAGCUCAGGACUCCACCUUAUUUUUCACGAAGGCAGUUCAAUAUUAAAAAUGAAACCUUUUCAGGUAUUUAAAUGAUUGAAUGUAAUUGAGUCCACUUCAUGCAAACCAAAUUGAGAUCCUCCUGCUGUCAGAGUGUUUCUAAACACUUUUUAUAUUCACAGGGCAGACUGAAUGGUGUGUAAGGAUUCACUAUGAAGACAGUUUGAUGACAAAACAUAGAGGUAUCAUCCAGGGGAGCUGAUUCUCUUAUCCAGAGUGACUUGAAUCAGUGAGGGAAGGGAUUUACUGUUGGGCUCAAUGAUUCUAACAGGACACAUCUUUCUGAGCUACUGAUGGACAACACUGCUGCUAAGUUUUGAAAUCAGUAUUUUAGAAUUUCUUCUUGAAAUGAAUACUUACUGAACUGUGGCUUUGCCACAUUUAGUGUCUUGCCAAUGUGUGGUUGUUACAAACUGAGACAAUAUGUAAUAGUUUCAGGUUUCAGUGUGUGUUAUUCCUGGUAUAAUAUUUUUUUUAAGUAAAGUGGUACUGAUGAUCAUGAAGAACAUUUCCUCCACAUUUAUAAUUUAUACUUUUGAAGAUAUUAAACAAUGUAAAAUCUUUGCAAUAACAUGUUGGAAUCAAAUAAAGAUUUUCAACUGCAAA